rnacentral:rRNA from 1 species
AGACGAACCGUACAAACGUUAUUCGGAAUCACUGGGCUUAAAGGGUGCGUAGGCGGCUUGGUAGGUGAGAUGUGAAAGCCCACGGCUCAACCGUGGAAUUGCGUUUCAAACCCCCAAGCUCGAGGAAGAUAGGGGUGAUGGGAACUUAUGGUGGAGCGGUGAAAUGCGUUGAUAUCAUAGGGAACACCGGUGGCGAAAGCGCAUCACUGGAUCUUUUCUGACGCUGAGGCACGAAAGCUAGGGUAGCGAACGGGAUUAGAAACCCCGGUAGUCC